CGCAGCUUGUCAUUUGUGUGUGGUGGUGGUGCUGCUGGCAUUGCCCCCACAGCCCUCAUUUGGGUCGCAACCUGAGGUUGGGAACUGCUGCUUUAAGGUAUGUUGCACCU